rnacentral:rRNA from 1 species
UACGGAGGGUGCAAACGUUGCUCGGAAUUAUUGGGCGUAAAGCGCACGUAGGCGGCCGACUAAGUCGGGUGUGAAAGCCCAGGGCUCAACCCUGGAAGUGCACUCGAAACUGGUCGGCUUGAAUAUGGAAGAGGGUCGCGGAAUUCCCGGUGUAGAGGUGAAAUGCGUAGAUAUCGGGAGGAACAUCAGUGGCGAAGGCGGCUGCCUGGCCCAAUACUGACACUCAGGUGCGACAGCGUGGGGAGCAAACAGG